GUUGAACGCUGGCGGCAGGCCUAACACAUGCAAGUCGAGCGAGAGGCGGACGGGUGAGUAAUGUCUGGGAACCUGCCUGAUGGAGGGGGAUAAAUACUGGAAACGGUAGCUAAUACCGCAUAACAUCAGAUGUGACCAGGUGGGAUUAGCUAGUAGGUGGGGUAACGGCUCAGCUAGGCGACGAUCCCUAGCUGGUCUGAGAGGAUGACCAGCAACACUGGAACUGAGACACGGUCCAGCCUCCUACGGGAGGCAGCAGUGGGGAAUAUUGCACAAUGGGCGCAAGCCUGAUUCAGCCAUGCCGCGUGUGUGAAGAUGGCCUUCGGUUUGUAAAGCACUUUCAGCGGGGAGGCGUUACCCGCAGAAGAAGCACCGGCUAACUCCGGGCCAGCAGCCGCGGUAAUAC
rnacentral:rRNA from 1 species